rnacentral:rRNA from 1 species
GAUGAACGCUGGCGGCGUGCCUAAUACAUGCAAGUCGAGCGAACAGACGAGGAGCUUGCUCCUCUGACGUUAGCGGCGGAAGGGUGAGUAACACGUGGAUAACCUACCUAUAAGACUGGGAUAACUUCGGGAAACCGGAGCUAAUACCGGAUAAUAUAUUGAACCGCAUGGUUCAAUAGUGAAAGACGGUUUUGCUGUCCCUUAUAGAUGGAUCCGCGCCGCAUUAGCUAGUUGGUAAGGUAACGGCUUACCAAGGCAACGAUGCGUAGCCGACCUGGGAGGGUGAUCGGCCACACUGGAACUGGGCCACGGUCCAGACUCCUACGGGAGGCAGCAAUAGGGAAUCUUCCGCGAUGGGCGAAAGCCUGACGGAGCAACGCCGCGUGAGUGAUGAAGGUCUUCGGAUCGUAAAACUCUGUUAUUAGGGAAGAACAAAUGUGUAAGUAACUAUGCACGUCUUGACGGUACCUAAUCAGAAAGCCACGGCUAACUACGUG